ACUCAUAGAUUCACCUGCCUCUGUCUCCCAAGUGCUGGGAUUAAAGGUAUGUGCCACCGCCAUCCAGCCCAACUUUUUUUUUUAAUGGCAAAUACAGGCUGAGGUUGGGGCUGAGGCUUAGAAUAUUUGUCUAGUAUUUAGUAAACCCUGGUUUCAUUUCCCAGCCGUUAACUCCACGCGUGGGGAGUGGAGGCAGGAGGUUCAACUGUUCAAGGUCUCAGUGGAUGGUGGAUGGAGUUUGAGGAGAGCCGAGUAUACACUCUGUGAAUUCUGCUUCUCCAUUCAUCUGCUGAUAGACGUUUGGAUCUCCUCCAUAGUUCAUCUAUUAUCUGUGCCACCAUGCCUGCUUCAUGUGAUGCUGGGAUCAAACUCAGGGCUUUGUGACUGCUAGAUGCCCAUGAAGGCCAAAAUCACCAGAAGCCUUGGAGCUGGAGUUACGAGCAGAUGCAAGUGGCCCAAUUUGGGCCUGGGAACCUCUGGUCGUCUGCAUAAGCAUCAUGAGAUCUCAACCCUAAGCCAUCAAUCAAGAACCUCCCUUUUUAAAUCAAUGAGCUCUCAAUGUGCAGCAGGUUUGUCUUUAAAUACAAAUGGCUCCUGGGGGUUGUGUGCUGGUUUAAGUAAAAGCGAAAAUGUCCCAGGGGCUGGAGAGCUGGCUCAGUGGUUAAGAUCAUAUAUUGCAGAGAAUCAGAGUUAAGGUCUCAUUUUAGGCAGCUCACAAGUACCUGUAAUUCCAACUCAGGAGGUCCAACCUCUCUGGCUUCUGCAGGCACCUACAUUCAUAUCCAAACACCAACAUACAUGCAUACACACAGUCAC